GGGGAUGUGGCGCAACGGCAGCGCAGUGGAUUGUAGAUCCAAAGGCUGGAGGUUAGAGUUCUCCCUCUUUCG
rnacentral:tRNA from 1 species